UACGGAGGAUGCGAGCGUUAUCCGGAUUUAUUGGGUUUAAAGGGUGCGUAGGUGGGCUAUUAAGUCAGUGGUGAAAGUUUGUCGCUCAACGAUAAAAUUGCCGUUGAGACUGGUGGUCUUGAGUAUGGAUGAAGUAGGCGGAAUGCGUGGUGUAGCGGUGAAAUGCAUAGAGAUCACGCAGAACUCCGAUUGCGAAGGCAGCUUACUAAGGCAUAACUGACACUGAAGCACGAAAGCGUGGGUAUCAAACAGG
rnacentral:rRNA from 1 species